GACGAACGCUGGCGGCGUGCUUAACACAUGCAAGUCGAACGGAAAGGCCCCGCUUUUGUGGGGUGCUCGUGUGGCGAACGGGUGAGUAACACGUGAGUAACCUGCCCUUGACUGUGGGAUAACUUCAGGAAACUGGGGAUAAUACCGGAUAGGAGCUCCUGCUGCGUGGGGGGGGGGGGAGAGUUUCGGCGGUGGGGGAUGCACUCGCGGCUUCUCAGUUUGUUGGGGGGGUAGGGGCUCACCAGGGCUUGGAGGGGUAGCCGGCCUGAGAGGGUGACCGCCCACAUUGGGACUGGGAUAGGCCCCGGCUUCCUACGGGAGGCAGCAGUGGGGAAGUUUGCCCAAGGGUCGGAGGCCGGUUGCAGAACGCCCUCGGGCGGAAUACCGGCCUUCGGUUGGAAAACCGCUUUCGCCUGGACCGAAGCGUGAGUGACGGUAAUGGGUAAAGAAGCACCGGCUAACUACGUG
rnacentral:rRNA from 1 species